GUAAUCGUGGCCUACUGGUUAGGGCUUCAGGCUUGUAACCGGAGGGUUGCCGGUUCUGUCCCAGACCAGUUGGA
rnacentral:tRNA from 1 species